GACGAACGCUGGCGGCGUGCUUAAUACAUGCAAGUCGAACGGAAAGGCCCUGCUUUUGCGGGGUGCUCGAGUGGCGCACGGGUGAGUAACACGUGAGUAACCUCCACUUGACUUUGGGGUAACUCCAGGAAACUGGGGCUAAUACCGGAUAGGAGCUCCUGCUGCAUGGCGGGGGUUGGAAAGAUUCGGCGGUUGGGGAUGGACUCGCGGCUUAUGCGCUGGUUGGUGGGGUAGUGGCUUACCAAGGCUGUGACGGAUAGCCGGCCUGGGAGGGUGACCAGCGACAUUGGGACUGAGGUACGGAGCAGACGGCUAUGGGCGGCAGCAGUGGAGAACAUUGCGCAAUGGCGCGAAGCGAGAGGCAGCGACGCCGCGUGCGGGAUGACCGCUUUCGGGUUGUAAACAGAUUUCGCCUGUGACGAAGCGUGAGUGACGGUAACGGGUAAAGAAGCACCGGCUAACUACGUG
rnacentral:rRNA from 1 species